rnacentral:rRNA from 1 species
UACGAAGGGGGCUAGCGUUGCUCGGAAUCACUGGGCGUAAAGCGCACGUAGGCGGAUUGUUAAGUCAGGGGUGAAAUCCUGGAGCUCAACUCCAGAACUGCCUUUGAUACUGAAGAUCUCGAGUCCGGGAGAGGUGAGUGGAACUGCGAGUGUAGAGGUGAAAUUCGUAGAUAUUCGCAAGAACACCAGUGGCGAAGGCGGCUCACUGGCCCGGUACUGACGCUGAGGCACGAAAGCGUGGGGAGCAAACAGG